CAGGUUGAAGAUGAUGGUGUUGUCUUCUUCCUUCUGAUUGAUUUCCAACAGCUUAAGAACUUGUGCGGUGGUGUCAACCUCUUAUGCUCUCAGGGAAAAUCCUAAAGAAGCCUUGCUUUGCAUGGGAGCUGCAGUUCAUCUGGCUAAGAGAUCGUGCUAUGGAAGCGACAAGGGCUGCCGCAGUGUAGACAAGGACUCGGAUCUAAGAGGGACGCCGUGGGUGCGGAUAGCGAGAUGGUUUACAUGACUUAGAUCUGAGAGGGACGCAGUCAAAUGGUCUAACCAAGUUUUCUUCAAUCCUCUGUUCUACAUUCUGGUUUUGAUGCCUUGCUGCCUUUGACAUUAAGGUGGGAAGCUUGGCUGAUUCCGCCUCCAGUCAGAAGAUUAAUACAUCUAUGGUUUUAUUUUCCAUGCCAACAGCUUGAUUGAUGAUUCCUAAUGCAUCUCAGAAAUAAUUGUUUCUGGAGGAAUGACCAUGCCACAGUUGAUUACUGCGCUGGGACUUGCCCUUGAUAAGAACCAGGGAACCCAUUUAAACAGAAUGAUGAUUGUGUGAGCCUUUAAAUAUCGCCAACACAUCAGGUAUUGGCAUCUAGAUGUUUACAACUACUAAAGGAACACCCAAGUCAUAGAUGAUGCUACAUCUGAUGUAUGAUUUGAAGAUUAGAAGCUGGAGCACAAGGAUUGUGUGAUGGAGUAAACAUUGGUUAUAUAUUUUAGGCGGGUCAGAUAUUAAAGUGGGGUGCUCACACAACACUUAGGUGGCUUACGGAGAUUACUGAAAUUGGUUUGUGGGUGUUGUGUGCUCACACCGCACUCAUAAAAUUACUAUCAAGAUUUGAAGUUAGUUAUGAGCUAAAAUUAGUAAUAAUGAAAAA